rnacentral:rRNA from 1 species
GAUGAACGCUGGCGGCGUGCCUAAUACAUGCAAGUCGAGCGAACGGACGAGAAGUUUGCUUCUCUGAUGUUAGCGGCGGACGGGUGAGUGACACGUGGAUAACCUACCUAUAAGACUGGGAUAACUUCGGGAAACCGGAGCUAAUACCGGAUAAUAUUUUGAACCGCAUGGUUCAAAAGUGAAAGACGGUCUUGCUGUCACUUAUAGAUGGAUCCGCGCUGCAUUAGCUAGUUGGUAAGGUAACGGCUUACCAAGGCAACGAUGCAUAGCCGACCUGAGAGGGUGAUCGGCCACACUGGAACUGAGACACGGUCCAGACUCCUACGGGAGGCAGCAGUAGGGAAUCUUCCGCAAUGGGCGAAAGCCUGACGGAGCAACGCCGCGUGAGUGAUGAAGGUCUUCGGAUCGUAAAACUCUGUUAUUAGGGAAGAACAUAUGUGUAAGUAACUGUGCACAUCUUGACGGUACCUAAUCAGAAAGCCACGGCUAACUACGUG